GGCACAGAUACUGCAUAUGCUAGGGCGGUUCCUCCGGACGGCGUAUCGUCGGAGGUAGCCGGCGCGGGGGCCGGUGUCAUCGCUUU
rnacentral:sRNA from 20 species